CGGCGACGGCCGCCACCCGUGACGAGCGCUGGGGAAGAUCUUAUCGGCAGGAGGAAGUACUGAGCUGGGGGCUGCUCUUCUCUGAAGCCUCCGGGUUUACCAGGUACAUCAGUGAGGCUUUCUGCUACCAUGAGUUUUAACCUCUGAAGCACAGAGGAAAUCUGAGUGGUCUUGUGGCUGUUCAUAAAGACAUGACACCCACAGACUGAGAAGAUAAAUCUAUACACCAUCCAUUAAUGAGCAGUUAUUCUAGUUUGUUAUUUUAUUACUAAUAAAACUAUAUUUGGCUUUCUUCCUUUAA